CAGCAGCCACGGUAAUACGUAGGGGGCGAGCGUUGUCCGAAGUUACUGGGCGUAAAGCGCGCGUAGGCGGCUUCUUAAGUCUGAGGUGAAAGGUUCAACGCUUAACGUGAACAGUGCCUUGGAUACUGGGGAGCUUGAGUAUGGGAGAGGGCAGUGGAAUGGCUGGUGUAGCGGUGAAAUGCGUAGAUAUCAGUCGGAACACCCAUGGCGAAGGCAGCUGCCUGGCCUAAUACUGACGCUGAGGUGCGAAAGCGUGGGGAGCGAACGGGAUUAGAUACCCCCGUAGUCCCUGUCUCUUAUA
rnacentral:rRNA from 1 species